rnacentral:lncRNA from 1 species
GUGUGAGGUGGUGCUAUGUAGCAGGAACCCCUCUUGCUUUGCAAAUAGUUUUUUGUUUGUUUUCCUUUUUGCCCAAUAGAGCCCUGCUCUACUGACCCUUCAAUGUGCCCGUGUGCCUAAAUAUUCCUGGUCGUGUGAAAAGAACCCAGGUAUUAGCUGAACUAAGGAGCACAAUUCUGCAACAUUUUGGCACCCAAACACGGGGCUUGAGAAAUGAAUGCAAUUGGAGAAACUGGUUGUUUUACCAGGCGUUGAUUGGAAAUGUGUGCUUCCCUUUAAGCAGUCAAGCUCAACUUGCAGAACUGAUGGGAACCCCUUGGGAAAACUGGCCUCAAAUGUUUGUCUACACAGUCCACAUACAGGGUUCUUAACCUGCGUUUUUACCUACAUUUUAGACUGACCCUGCUUGUGCCUGUGAACCAACCAACAAUCUCUGGCUGCAGCUCAGAAAGGACAAAAGAGAAUGGAUGAGGGAAACUUCCCAGGGCUUGUCUGGGUAUGCCCACAGUGGACUGGAGCCCAAAAUGCACACUGGAGGAAGUGGAUGGAGCCACGUGGAUGUCAUGCCUUAUGCAGGGGAGGAGCCUGCUCUCUUCAGCUCCUGUGGUAAUGUGGGAAUCGAUCUGUGAGAUUCCAUGAACUCCAAGUUAAGAACACAUGAUCUGGAUGUUUGACAAAAUACCUUCAGCAGGAAUAAUGAAAGCCCUGACAUUUCUGUGUGCAUAAAAACUGGAAAACUUUAAAAGUAAUAAAUCACCAAGUCUUUAUAAAAA